GAUGAACGCUAGCUACAGGCUUAACACAUGCAAGUCGAGGGGAAACGAUGAGAGAGCUUGCUCUCUUAGUCGUCGACCGGCGCACGGGUGAGUAACGCGUAUCCAACCUGCCUCUGACCAAGGGAUAACCCGUCGAAAGUCGGACUAAUACCUUAUGCAGUCGUCGGAAGUCAUCUGAUGACGACGAAAGAUUUCAUCGGUGAGAGAUGGGGAUGCGUCUGAUUAGCUUGUUGGCGGGGUAACGGCCCACCAAGGCGACGAUCAGUAGGGGUUCUGAGAGGAAGGUCCCCCACAUUGGAACUGAGACACGGUCCAAACUCCUACGGGAGGCAGCAGUGAGGAAUAUUGGGCAAUGGGCGUAAGCCUGAACCAGCCAAGUAGCGUGCAGGAUGACGGCCCUAUGGGUUGUAAACUGCUUUUAUGCGGGGAUAAAGUGAGGGACGUGUCCUUCAUUGCAGGUACCGCAUGAAUAAGGACCGGCUAAUUCCGUG
rnacentral:rRNA from 1 species